UACGUAGGGGGCAAGCGUUGUCCGGAUUUAUUGGGCGUAAAGAGCUCGUAGGUGGUUCGGUAAGUCGGAUGUGAAAUCUCCAGGCUCAACCUGGAGGGGUCAUUCGAUACUGCCGUGACUAGAGUUCGGUAGGGGAGUGUGGAAUUCCUGGUGGAGCGGUGAAAUGCGCAGAUAUCAGGAGGAACACCGGUGGCGAAGGCGGGUCUCUGGGCCACUACUGACGCUGAGGAGCGAAAGCGUGGGGAGCAAACAGG
rnacentral:rRNA from 1 species